rnacentral:rRNA from 1 species
UACGUAGGGUGCGAGCGUUGUCCGGAAUUAUUGGGCGUAAAGGGCUCGUAGGCGGUCUGUUGCGUCAGGAGUGAAAACUCGGGGCUUAACCCCGAGCCUGCUUCUGAUACGGGCAGACUAGAGGUAUGCAGGGGGAGAACGGAAUUCCUGGUGUAGCGGUGAAAUGCGCAGAUAUCAGGAGGAACACCGGUGGCGAAGGCGGUUCUCUGGGCAUUACCUGACGCUGAGGAGCGAAAGCGUGGGGAGCGAACAGG